UGGUUCUGGCAUCGAUGAAGAACGCAGCGAAAUGCGAUAAGUAAUGUGAAUUGCAGAAUUCAGUGAAUCAUCGAAUCUUUGAACGCACAUUGCGCCCCUCGGAAUUCCGGGGGGCAUGCCUGUUCGAGCGUCAUUACUCCUCUCAAGCGUAGCUUGGCCUUGGGCCCCGUCCGGCGAGGGCGAGCCCGAAAACGAGCGGCGGUCCGGUGGGACUUCGGGUGCAGUCAAAUCAUUUUCACCACGAACGUUCCCUCGGGGCCUGCCGGGACUUUACAUCUCCAACGAUUGACCUCGGAUCAGGUAGGGAUACCCGCUGA
rnacentral:misc_RNA from 1 species